UACAGAGGGCCCGAGCGUUGUUCGGAUUCAUUGGGCGUAAAGGGUGCGUAGGCGGUGGGGUAAGUUGGAUGUGAGAUCUUGGGGCUUAACCUCAAAAUUGCAUUCAAUACUGCUCCGCUCGAGUUCUGUAGAGGAGAUUGGAAUUUACGGUGUAGCAGUGAAAUGCGUAGAUAUCGUAAGGAACGCCAGUGGCGAAAGCGAAUCUCUGGGCAGCAACUGACGCUGAGGCACGAAGGCCAGGGGAGCAAACGGG
rnacentral:rRNA from 1 species